GCGGAAGGAUCAUUACCGAGUGAGGGCCCUCUGGGUCCAACCUCCCACCCGUGUUUAAUUUACCUUGUUGCUUCGGCGGGCCCGCCUUAACUGGCCGCCGGGGGGCUUACGCCCCCGGGCCCGCGCCCGCCGAAGACACCCUCGUACUCUGUCUGAAGAUUGUAGUCUGAGUGAAAAUAUAAAUUAUUUAAAACUUUCAACAACGGAUCUCUUGGUUCCGGCA
rnacentral:misc_RNA from 1 species